GACGAACGCUGGCGGCGUGCUUAACACAUGCAAGUCGAACGGAAAGGCCCUGCUUUUGUGGGGUGCUCGAUUGGCGAACGGGUGAGUAACACGUGAGUAACCUGCCCUUGACUUUGGGAUAUCUUCAGGAAACUGGGGCUAAUACCGGAUAGGAGCUCCUGCUGCAUGGUGGGGGUUGGAAAGUUUCGGCGGUUGGGGAUGGACUCGCGGCUUAUCAGCUUGUUGGUGGGGUAGUGGCUUACCAAGGCUUUGACGGGUAGCCGGCCUGAGAGGGUGACCGGGCACAUCACGCCGGAGAUAAGGCACAGACCAGACUGGGACGCAGCGGUGGAGAGUAGUGCACAAUAGGAUGGAGCCAGACGCGACAACGCCGUGUGCGGGAAGAGGGCCUUGGGGUUGUAAACCGAUGUCGCCUGAGACGAGGCGUUAGUGACGGUAAUGGGUAAAGAAGCACCGGCUAACUACGUG
rnacentral:rRNA from 1 species